rnacentral:rRNA from 1 species
AUGAACGCUGGCGGCGUGGCUAAGGCAUGCAAGUCGAGCGGAUUAUUUUUUGUAGCAAUACAGAAGAUAGUUAGCGGCAAACGGGUGCGUAACACAUUGGUAACCUACCUCGAAGUCGGGCACAACCAGCCGAAAGGCUGGCUAAUUCCACGAUGGUCAUCCAGGCGUAAAGCCUGUAUGUAAAGCAGCAAUGCGCUUCGAGAGGGGCCUAUGGCCCAUCAGCUAGUUGGUAAGGUAACGGCUUACCAAGGCUAUGACGGGUAGGGGGUGUGAGAGCACGACCCCCCUCACUGGAACUGAGACACUGUCCAGACACCUACGGGUGGCUGCAGUCACGAAUAUUCCCCAAUGGACGAAAGUCUGAGGGAGCGACGCCGCGUGCAGGAUGAAGGGCUUCGGCUCGUAAACUGCUUUUGUCAGGGAAAAAAUCUGAUGGUACCUGAAGAAUAAGUGGUUGCUAACUCUGU